rnacentral:rRNA from 1 species
UGGGGAAUAUUGGACAAUGGGGGCAACCCUGAUCCAGCAAUGCCGCGUGUGUGAAGAAGGUCUUCGGAUUGUAAAGCACUUUCGACGGGGACGAUGAUGACGGUACCCGUAGAAGAAGCCCCGGCUAACUUCGUGCCAGCAGCCGCGGUAAUACGAAGGGGGCUAGCGUUGCUCGGAAUGACUGGGCGUAAAGGGCGUGUAGGCGGUUUACACAGUCAGAUGUGAAAUCCCCGGGCUUAACCUGGGAGCUGCAUUUGAUACGUGUAGACUAGAGUGUGAGAGAGGGUUGUGGAAUUCCCAGUGUAGAGGUGAAAUUCGUAGAUAUUGGGAAGAACACCGGUGGCGAAGGCGGCAACCUGGCUCAUGACUGACGCUGAGGCGCGAAAAGCGUGGGGAGCAAACAGGAUUAGAUACCCUGGUAGUCCACGCUGUAAACGAUGUGUGCUAGAUGUUGGGUAACUUUGUUAU